GGGGAUUUAGCUCAGUGGUAGAGCGCUUGCCUAGUAAGUGCAAGGCCCUGGGUUCAGUCCCCA
rfam:Rattus norvegicus chromosome 19, whole genome shotgun sequence.